AGAAUCAACGCUGGCGGCGUGCCUAACACAUGCAAGUCGAACGAGAAAGGGUAGCAAUACCUGAGUAAAGUGGCGCACGGGUGAGUAACACGUGACUAACCUACCUUUUAGUGGGGGGAUAACCUAGGGAAACCUGGGCUAAUACCGCAUAAUACCUACGGGUCAAAGCAGCAAUGCGCUGGAAGAGGGGGUCGCGGCCGAUUAGCUAGUUGGCGGGGUAAUGGCCCACCAAGGCAGUGAUCGGUAUCCGGCCUGAGAGGGCGCACGGACACACUGGAACUGAAACACGGUCCAGACUCCUACGGGAGGCAGCAGUGGGGAAUUUGCGCAAUGGGGGAAACCCUGACGCAGCAACGCCGCGUGGAGGAUGAAGACCCUUGGGUCGUAAACUCCUUUCGAUCGGGACGAUAAUGACGGUACCGGAAGAAGAAGCCCGGCUAACUUCGCGCCAGCAGCCGC
rnacentral:rRNA from 1 species